UGCAUGGUUGUCGUCAGCUCGUGUCGUGAGAUGUUGGGUUAAGUCCCGCAGCGAGCGCAACCCUCGUCCUUAGUUGCUAACGGUUCGGCCGAGCACUCUAGGGAGACUGCCUUCGCAAGGAGGAGGAAGGUGAGGACGACGUCAAGUCAUCAUGGCCCUUACGGCCAGGGCUACACACGUGCUACAAUGGGGCGUACAGAGAGCUGCGAUACCGCGAGGUGGAGCCAAUCUCUUAAAGCGUCUCUCAGUUCGGAUUGUUCUCUGCAACUCGAGAACAUGAAGCUGGAAUCACUAGUAAUCGCAGAUCAGCUAUGCUGCGGUGAAUACGUUCCCGGGUCUU
rnacentral:rRNA from 1 species